rnacentral:rRNA from 1 species
UACGAAGGGGGCUAGCGUUGCUCGGAAUCACUGGGCGUAAAGGGUGCGUAGGCGGGUCUUUUAAGUCAGGGGUGAAAUCCUGGAGCUCAACUCCAGAACUGCCUUUGAUACUGGCGAUCUCGAGUCCGGGAGAGGUGAGUGGAACUGCGAGUGUAGAGGUGAAAUUCGUAGAUAUUCGCAAGAACACCAGUGGCGAAGGCGGCUAUCUGGCCCAACAUUGACGCUGAGACCCGAAAGCGUGGGGAUCAAACAGG